rnacentral:rRNA from 1 species
UACGUAGGAGACGAGCGUUGUCCGGAGUUACUGGGCGUAAAGGGUGCGCAGGUGGCGGCGCGCGUGGGGGGUGAAAUCGCCCGGCUUAACUGGGCGGGGGCCUUCCAGACGGCGUGGCUUGAGCAGCGGAGGGGGACGUGGAAUUCCGGGUGGAGCGGUGAAAUGCGUAGAUAUCUGGAGGAACACCGGUGGCGAAGGCGGCGUUCUGGACUGCAACUGACACUGAGGAACGAAAGCCAGGGGAGCAAACGGG